rnacentral:tRNA from 1 species
CGGAGUGUGGCGCAGCCUGGUAGCGCACCUGUCUCGGGGUCAGGGGGUCGCAGGUUCGAAUCCUGCCUCUCCGACCA